GUAGGUGAACCUGCGGAAGGAUCAUUAAAGUGUUUGGGUCCCCUCGGGGGCCCUACAUCCCACCCUCCUGAAGUUUAGAAAACACCGUUGCUUUGGCGGACCGGUGCCCCUCGGGGCGCCGCCGGGCCUCCAGCCCGGAGAGCGUCCGCCAGAGGACCGUCAAACACAAGCUACAACCAGAAGUCAGAGUAACAAAACAAAUGAAAUUAAAACUUUCAACAACGGAUCUCUUGGUUCUGGCAUCGAUGAA
rnacentral:misc_RNA from 1 species